rnacentral:rRNA from 1 species
CGGGACGGGUGAGUAACGCGUGGAUAACCUGCCUCACACUGGGGGAUAACAGUUAGAAAUGACUGCUAAUACCGCAUAAGCGCACAGUACCGCAUGGUACAGUGUGAAAAACUCCGGUGGUGUGAAAUGGAUCCGCGUCUGAUUAGCCAGUUGGCGGGGUAACGGCCCACCAAAGCGACGAUCAGUAGCCGACCUGAGAGGGUGACCGGCCACAUUGGGACUGAGACACGGCCCAA